ACACUUUUUAAACAAUACUACUAUACAUGCAGCGCUGCAAUAAACAAAAAUAAGAUUUAUUUUUACUGUGUCCAAACUGUGCAUUCAAUAUAGUGACUAAAUGUGGUCACUCAGUGGGACUGCUAUACCCACUAUAUACAACUUACCGAUAAAAUGGGACUUUAACCCAGAAAAUAUAAAUGUUUCUCUUAUACAACUUAUCAUGGGACUCUAACC